rnacentral:rRNA from 1 species
UACGAAGGGGGCUAGCGUUGCUCGGAAUUACUGGGCGUAAAGGGCGCGUAGGCGGCGCACCAAGUCAGGCGUGAAAUUCCUGGGCUCAACCUGGGGACUGCGCUUGAGACUGGCGUGCUAGAGGAUGGAAGAGGCUCGUGGAAUUCCCAGUGUAGAGGUGGAAAUUCGUAGAUAUUGGGAAGAACACCGGUGGCGAAGGCGGCGAGCUGGUCCAUUACUGACGCUGAGGCGCGACAGCGUGGG